rnacentral:rRNA from 1 species
UGAGGAACAUGACCUUCGGCGGGGGAUAGCCGGCCCAACGGCCGGGUAAUACCGCGUACGACCACAUGGGGACAUCCCUGAGUGGUGAAAGCAGCAAUGCGCCGAUGGAGUGCCUCGCGGCCUAUCAGCUAGUUGGUGAGGUAACGGCUCACCAAGGCGACGACGGGUAGCUGGUCUGAGAGGAUGGCCAGCCACAGUUGGGACCGAGACACGGCCCAGACUCCCGUAGGGACG